rnacentral:rRNA from 1 species
GAUGAACGCUGGCGGCGUGCCUAAUACAUGCAAGUCGAGCGAACAGACGAGGAGCUUGCUCCUCUGACGUUAGCGGCGGACGGGUGAGUAACACGUGGAUAACCUACCUAUAAGACUGGGAUAACUUCGGGAAACCGGAGCUAAUACCGGAUAAUAUAUUGAACCGCAUGGUUCAAUAGUGAAAGACGGUUUUGCUGUCACUUAUAGAUGGAUCCGCGCCGCAUUAGCUAGUUGGUAAGGUAACGGCUUAACAAGGCAACGAUGCGUAGCCGACCUGAGAGGGUGAUCGGCCACACUGGAACCGAGACACGGUCCAGACUCCUACGGGAGGGAACAGUAGGGAAUCUUCCGCAAUGGGCGGAAACCUGACGGAGCAACGCCGCGUGGGUGAUGGAGGUCUUCGGAUCGUAAAACUCUGUUAUUAGGGAAAAACAAAUGUGUAAGUAACUAUGCACGUCUUGACGGUACCUAAUCAGAAAGCCACGGCUAACUACGUG